rnacentral:rRNA from 1 species
UACGGAGGGAGCUAGCGUUGUCCGGAAUUAUUGGGCGUAAAGAGCUCGUAGGCGGCCUGUUGCGUCCGCUGUGAAAGCCCGGGGCUUAACCCCGGGUCUGCAGUGGAUACGGGCAGGCUAGAGGUAGGUAGGGGAGAAUGGAAUUCCCGGUGUAGCGGUGAAAUGCGCAGAUAUCGGGAGGAACACCGGUGGCGAAGGCGGUUCUCUGGGCCGUACUGACGCUGAGAGCGAAAGCGUGGGGAGCGAACAGGA